UAGUCAUAUGCUUGUCUCAAAGAUUAAGCCAUGCAUGUCUAAGUAUAAGCAUUAUACGGUGAAACUGCGAAUGGCUCAUUAAAUCAGUUAUCGUUUAUUUGAUAGUGCCUUUUCUACAUGGAUAACCGUGGAAAAUCUAGAGCUAAUACAUGCGACAACCCCCGACUUUUGAAGGGGCGUAUUUAUUAGAUAAAAAACCAAUGCCCUCGGGCCUUUUGGUGAUUCAUGAUAACUCGUCGAAGCUCAUGGCCUUGUGCUGGAGCUGGUUCAUUCAAAUU
rnacentral:rRNA from 1 species